AAAUGUUCCCUUUUUCCAUUGCUUUUAAUCUCCCUGCAACUUGAGAACACACCAAUCCAACAACCAGAUUUACACACAUUUUUACAAUGACUUUAUCCGGGUGUUUAACGUUUCUCAUGCUAUCAGUUUCUGUGGUGCGCAGUCAGACUCUGACUGAGUCUGAA